GAACCCGACUCGGACGCACUUUCGCCUCCCUCUCGCGACCUCUGCUCCGCUCUCUCCCUCUUUCCUCUGCGGAGCGCCCUUGCUGGCCAACCCCGACGCCGACGAACCCCCUGCUCGCGUUUUGGCCUCCCGCCUUGAAGGGGACUCUUAAUGUUCUGAAGUCGUGUUCCAAAGCACCUUCUGUCAAGCGUGUGGUCUUAACAUCAUCUAUGCUUGCAGUUGCGUUCACUGGACAACCAUUGACAGUUGAUGUUGCAGUUGAUGAAAAUUGGUUUUCUGAUCCAGAGUUCUGCAGGAAAAGAAACUUGUGGUAUGCACUCUCAAAGACUUUAGCUGAGGAUGCUUCCUGGAAAUUCGUGAAAAGAAAAGGGUAUUGAUAUGGCUACAAUCAACCCAGGCUUGGUGAUUGGUCCUCUUUUACAGCCAACACUGAACACGAGUGCUGCAACAAUUGCAAAUUUGGUAAAUGGACGCUUCUGUCUCCGCCUUCGCCCCUGACGCCAACGCUGACGCCCCUUCGCCUCCCUCUCGCGACCUCCGCCUUCGUCCGUGUCUGUUCUGACAGUAUUAUUGCUUACUGAUGUGGAGGGAGGGGCACCUGUUUUACUAUCUUAUACUAAU